UGUCAUAGCUCAGUUGGUAGAGCAAAGGACUGAAAAUCCUUGUGUCCCCGGUUCGAUUCCUGGUGGCAC
rnacentral:tRNA from 3 species